GAUGAACGCUGGCGGCGUGCCUAAUACAUGCAAGUCGAGCGAACGGACGAGAAGCUUGCUUCUCUGAUGUUAGCGGCGGACGGGUGAGUAACACGUGGAUAACCUACCUAUAAGACUGGGAUAACUUCGGGAAACCGGAGCUAAUACCGGAUAAUAUUUUGAACCGCAUGGUUCAAAAGUGAAAGACGGUCUUGCUGUCACUUAUAGAUGGAUCCGCGCUGCAUUAGCUAGUUGGUAAGGUAACGGCUUACCAAGGCAACGAUGCAUAGCCGACCUGAGAGGGUGAUCGGCCACACUGGAACUGAGACACGGUCCAGACUCCUACGGGAGGCAGCAGUAGGGAAUCUUCCGCAAUGGGCGAAAGCCUGACGGAGCAACGCCGCGUGAGUGAUGAAGGUCUUCGGAUCGUAAAACUCUGUUAUUAGGGAAGAACAUAUGUGUAAGUAACUGUGCACAUCUUGACGGUACCUAAUCAGAAAGCCACGGCUAACUACGUGCCAGCAGCCGCGGUAAUACGUAGGUGGCAAGCGUUAUCCGGAAUUAUUGGGCGUAAAGCGCGCGUAGGCGGUUUUUUAAGUCUGAUGUGAAAGCCCACGGCUCAACCGUGGAGGGUCAUUGGAAACUGGAAAACUUGAGUGCAGAAGAGGAGAGUGGAAUUCCAUGUGUAGCGGUGAAAUGCGCAGAGAUAUGGAGGAACACCAGUGGCGAAGGCGACUUUCUGGUCUGUAACUGACGCUGAUGUGCGAAAGCGUGGGGAUCAAACAGGAUUAGAUACCCUGGUAGUCCACGCCGUAAACGAUGAGUGCUAAGUGUUAGGGGGUUUCCGCCCCUUAGUGCUGCAGCUAACGCAUUAAGCACUCCGCCUGGGGAGUACGACCGCAAGGUUGAAACUCAAAGGAAUUGACGGGGACCCGCACAAGCGGUGGAGCAUGUGGUUUAAUUCGAAGCAACGCGAAGAACCUUACCAAAUCUUGACAUCCUUUGACAACUCUAGAGAUAGAGCCUUCCCCUUCGGGGGACAAAGUGACAGGUGGUGCAUGGUUGUCGUCAGCUCGUGUCGUGAGAUGUUGGGUUAAGUCCCGCAACGAGCGCAACCCUUAAGCUUAGUUGCCAUCAUUAAGUUGGGCACUCUAAGUUGACUGCCGGUGACAAACCGGAGGAAGGUGGGGAUGACGUCAAAUCAUCAUGCCCCUUAUGAUUUGGGCUACACACGUGCUACAAUGGACAAUACAAAGGGCAGCGAAACCGCGAGGUCAAGCAAAUCCCAUAAAGUUGUUCUCAGUUCGGAUUGUAGUCUGCAACUCGACUACAUGAAGCUGGAAUCGCUAGUAAUCGUAGAUCAGCCUGCUACGGUGAAUACGUUCCCGGGUCU
rnacentral:rRNA from 1 species